GGUGGCUCAGUGGUAGAGCGCUUGCCUUGCAAGCUUGAAGCCCUGGGUUCGAUUCCUCAGUACCA
rnacentral:tRNA from 1 species